CCUACGGGUGGCAGCAGUGAGGAAUAUUGGUCAAUGGACGAGAGUCUGAACCAGCCAAGUAGCGUGAAGGAUGACUGCCCUAUGGGUUGUAAACUUCUUUUAUAUGGGAAUAAAAUGUUCCACGUGUGGGAUUUUGUAUGUACCAUAUGAAUAAGGAUCGGCUAACUCCGUGCCAGCAGCCGCGGUAAUAAGGAGGAUCCGAGCGUUAUCCGGAUUUAUUGGGUUUAAAGGGAGCGUAGGUGGAUGGUUAAGUCAGUUGUGAAAGUUUGCGGCUCAACCGUAAAAUUGCAGUUGAAACUGGCAGUCUUGAGUACAGUAGAGGUGGGCGGAAUUCGUGGUGUAGCGGUGAAAUGCUUAGAUAUCACGAAGAACUCCGAUUGCGAAGGCAGUUCACUGGACUGCAACUGACACUGAGGCUCGAAAGUGUGGGUAUCAAACAGGAUUAGAUACCCGAGUAGUC
rnacentral:rRNA from 1 species